AUUAUUUUGGCAGAUUAGUGCAUUAAAUUUAGAAUUUAAUUAUGUAAUGAAGAUUACAAAUAAU
rnacentral:tRNA from 1 species